AGCUCUAUGCUAACUUGUGUGACAUCUGUGCACAAUCCAUCCAGCUGUGAUUAAAUUCCUGGUUUCAGUGUUUGUGUGUGUGUGUCUGUGUGUGUGUGUGUUUCAAUUCAAAAAUUAAAGGCAAAUUCCUGUAGAAAGAGAUACUUGGAAAACGUCUGCAAAUCUAGAAACUCUGGACAUUUUAUAUGAAACAAGCAUCAAAACACUCCAAAAGGUAGAGACAAGGCAGAAUUGCUGGGGAACUUGAGACCAAAGGAACAACACAUUAGUCAGUCUGAUAUCCACCACCCAGUUCUCUAGGUGGAAGAAUAAUCAAAGAGACUGGGGGGAAAGAGGAAUUCUCAGGGUUGGCCUUGUGGCCUUCCUACAUGAUGAAGAUGUGAAGGCUGGAUUUGAUAAUGAAGAGUCUUCUUUGUGUUCUCUCAUUAUUUAUGCCACAUCUGCCUUUCAGCAUUUGUGUCAAUGAGUCACUGUAAUUACAGCCGUUGGAUAAUUUCUCCCGUUUUACAACACAAACCCGACUGUGUGAGUGCUCCACCAGAGAAAAACAUUUAUUUCCUUGCAGCACCAUCAGGCAGCAAGGUCCAGCUUUC
rnacentral:lncRNA from 1 species